rnacentral:rRNA from 1 species
AUACGGAGGAUCCGAGCGUUAUCCGGAUUUAUUGGGUUUAAAGGGUGCGCAGGCGGCCAUUUAAGUCAGCGGUUAAAUCGUGGGGCUCAACCCCAUUCUGCCGUUGAUACUGGGUGGCUUGAUUGCGGUCGAGGUUGGCGGAAUUCGUUGUGUAGCGGUGAAAUGCAUAGAUAUGACGAAGAACACCGAGUGCGUAGGCAGCUGACCAGACCGCAAAUGACGCUCAUGCACGAACGUUCGGGGAUCGAACAGGAUUAGAUACCGUGGUAGUCCGCACAGUAAACGAUGAAUGCCCGCUGUUUGCGAUAUACAGUAAGCGGCCAAGCGAAAGCAUUAAGUAUUCCGCCUGGGGAGUACGCCGGCAACGGUGAAACUUAAAGGAAUUGACGGGG